rnacentral:lncRNA from 1 species
AAAUGUUUGAAUUCUUUUAUUGUAACCGUUUCUAAUAAUAUUAUAUUGAGGGAUUUUAAAUUUAUAGGAUUAUAAAUCUAAUAAAAUAUCAAACAAUUAAUGUCAAAACUAUAAAAAUAUAAAUAUUAAUAGUAAUAUAAUGAGGUGUACAAAGUCAAGGGACUUUGAUCAAACUUUGAAUAUCAUUAAGGUUUUAAUCAAAGAAUGUUAAGGAUUAGGGAUCCCAUCCAAAGUAUCCCUUUUUGCUAAUUACGUUUAAAAGUGAAAUGAUGCUUUUUCUUUUGCUUGUUUUCUUUCUUUUGUUUUAUCUUUUCAUUUAAGUGGGUUUUUAUCUUUUGAGGAUCGGAAAAACUUAUAAAGACAUUUUAACUUUCCUCGCCAUCAUGUGAUUCACUAGUGUCAAUAAUCAAAUUUAUAACGUGUCGUGUGAAAUACGGGUCUAAAAUUUAUCCACAACCAAUAAGUCACCUCGUGGUGAUUAUUUAAGUGAGUUUUUAUGUUUACAUAGAUUAUGAUUUUUCAUGUUUAAAAUAUUAUAGAGUGAGUAUUUUAUCUGUGAAUCAUGUGUUCUUAACUUCUUAGAUUACAUUAGCAUAAUUGUGGAGCCAAAAAUAAUCACAAGGCGACACGUG